rnacentral:rRNA from 1 species
GCUUACGGCCAUACCACCCUGAGCGCGCCCGAUCUCGUCUGAUCUCGGAAGCUAAGCAGGGUCGGGCCUGGUUAGUACUUGGAUGGGAGACCGCCUGGGAAUACCAGGUGCUGUAAGCUU